rnacentral:rRNA from 1 species
UACGAAGGGGGCUAGCGUUGCUCGGAAUCACUGGGCGUAAAGGGCGCGUAGGCGGCGUUUUAAGUCAGGGGUGAAAUCCCAAGGCUCAACCUUGGAACUGCCUUUGAUACUGGGGAUCUCGAGUCCGGAAGAGGUUGGUGGAACUCCGAGUGUAGAGGUGAAAUGCGUAGAGAUCGGAAAGAACACCAACGGCGAAAGCACUCUGCUGGGCCGACACUGACACUGAGAGACGAAAGCUAGGGGAGCGAAUGGG